GUCCACGCCGUAAACGAUGCGCACUGGGUAUGAGGGACUCUGACGUUCCUCGUGCCGCAGCAAAAGUGGUUAGUGCGCCGCCUGGGGAGUACGGCCGCAAGGCUAAAACUCAAAGGAAUUGACGGGGGCUCACACAAGCGGUGGAGCAUGUGGAUUAAUUCGAAGCAACGCGAAGAACCUUACCUGGGUUUGACAUGCACGGAUGCCGUCCAUGAAAGUGGAGCCGGUUGCCUUCGGGUGAAACGUGCACAGGUGCUGCAUGGCUGUCGU
rnacentral:rRNA from 1 species